GAUUCCCCUAGUAGCGGCGAGCGAAGCGGGAAAAGCUCAAAUUUGUAAUCUGGCGCUUUCGGCGUCCGAGUUGUAAUCUCGAGAAGUGUUUUCCGCGUCAGACCGCACACAAGUCUCCUGGAACGGAGCGUCACAGUGGUGAGAACCCAGUACACGGUGCGGAUGCCUGAUGCUUUGUGAUACACUUUCGAAGAGUCGAGUUGUUUGGGAAUGCAGCUCAAAUUGGGUGGUAAAUUCCAUCUAAAGCUAAAUAUUGGCGAGAGACCGAUAGCGAACAAGUACCGUGAGGGAAAGAUGAAAAGCACUUUGGAAAGAGAGUUAACAGUACGUGAAAUUGUUGGAAGGGAAACGCUUGAAGUCAGACUUGCUAUUCGGAGCUUGCUUCGAUUCGCAGGCCCGCAUCAGUUUUCCGGGGCGGAAAAUCGUAAGGAGAAGGUAGCAGUUUCGGCUGUGUUAUAGCUCUUUACUGGAUUCGUCCUGGGGGACUGAGGAACGCAGCGUGCUUUUUGCAUGGGCUUCGGCCCAUCCACGCUUAGGAUGCGGGUGGAAUG
rnacentral:rRNA from 1 species